GGGGGAGUUGGAGUUACGGGUAAACAGGAUUUUUAAUUGUUAUAUUAAGGAUAGACAUGUGCUUAAAAAAUGGAAAAACAUGAAAAGUAGAAUUGCAAAUUAAAGUGUGAAAUUGAAGUGAAAAAAAAAACCAUAAAUGACCUUAUUUGUUACCUGGUGGACAACAUGAGGAAACAACCAUAAAUAAAGAGGAAAGCCUUUUUUUUUCUUUUUUCUUUAUAGCAAGAGAAGUCGGAAAAGGGCUAGAUUUAAGAAUGUAGGAGGAAAGGGGGAAUUAGAAUUCAAAACUUUUAAACUUUGAAAUCUCAACCUUAACCAUUAAAACAAAGGUGUUCUCGACAAAAAGAGGAGCGCUUCAGAUAUAAGCAUAAGAGAAUUUGUCAUGUUGAACAUUUUCUACAACAAUUAAGUGGUGAAGAUCAAUUUAUCAACUACAAGUUGCAAUAAAUUUUUUAAAGCAUAUAUCUAGUUAGCUAGUUAUAUAUUUACAUAUAUAAGUGUGGUUUGAUUAAUUGAUGCCCAAUGUAUAUUCGUUAAAUGAGUUUCAUGUGUUACUUUUUUAAAAAAGUGUAAUUAAUUUGAAUAAGUAUCUAACUAUAUAUUGCAAUUAAUUAUGAUUGUGUAUAUUCACAUGUUAAAUUAAAUAUAAUUUAGGUUUAUUAACAAGUGCACAUGCCCGUUAGAAAAAUUCAUAUAUAAUCCGAAUUUCAAAUUUCUACAACGUUAUUAUGAUCUUACAAUUGUAACACAUCACCAUCAAGACUUCCUUCUUUUCUUUUGGCAUACUCAUUUCGGCAAGACUUUUUUAUUUUACUUUUUACGUGUUGUUAGGAAAGAUGGCGGGCGUGACAGUGACAAUAUCGCUGAACUUUUCUUUCUUUCACUUGAAACUUCAUUAAGCGAAGAUGCUGCUGGUGGCUCC
rnacentral:lncRNA from 1 species